rnacentral:rRNA from 1 species
AUUGAACGCUGGCGGCAUGCCUUACAUUUGCAAGUCGAACGGCAGCACGGAGCUUGCUCUGGUGGCGAGUGGCGAACGGGUGAGUAAUAUAUCGGAACGUACCCUGGAGUGGGGGAUAACGUAGCGAAAGUUACGCUAAUACCGCAUACGAUCUAAGGAUGAAAGUGGGGGAUCGCAAGACCUCAUGCUCGUGGAGCGGCCGAUAUCUGAUUAGCUAGUUGGUAGGGUAAAAGCCUACCAAGGCAUCGAUCAGUAGCUGGUCUGAGAGGACGACCAGCCACACUGGAACUGAGACACGGUCCAGACUCCUACGGGAGGCAGCAGUGGGGAAUUUUGGACAAUGGGCGAAAGCCUGAUCCAGCAAUGCCGCGUGAGUGAAGAAGGCCUUCGGGUUGUAAAGCUCUUUUGUCAGGGAAGAAACGGUGAGAGCUAAUAUCUCUUGCUAAUGACGGUACCUGAAGAAUAAGCACCGGCUAACUACGUGCCAGCAGCCGCGGUAAUACGUAGGGUGCAAGCGUUAAUCGGAAUUACUGGGCGUAAAGCGUGCGCAGGCGGUUUUGUAAGUCUGAUGUGAAAUCCCCGGGCUCAACCUGGGAAUUGCAUUGGAGACUGCAAGGCUAGAAUCUGGCAGAGGGGGGUAGAAUUCCACGUGUAGCAGUGAAAUGCGUAGAUAUGUGGAAGAACACCUAUGGCGAAGGCAGCCCCCUGGUUCAAGAUUGACGCUCAUGCCGGAAAGCGUGGGGAGCAAACAGGAUUAGAUACCCUGGUAGUCCACGCCCUAACGAAUGUCUACUAGUUGUCGGGUCUUAAUUGACUGGGUAACGCAGCUAACGCGUGAAGUAGACCGCCUGGGGAGUACGGUCGCAAGAUUAAAACUCAAAGGAAUUGACGGGGACCCGCACAAGCGGUGGAUGAUGUGGAUUAAUUCGAUGCAACGCGAAAAACCUUACCUACCCUUGACAUGGCUGGAAUCCUCGAGAGAUUGAGGAGUGCUCGAAAGAGAACCAGUACACAGGUGCUGCAUGGCUGUCGUCAGCUCGUGUCGUGAGAUGUUGGGUUAAGUCCCGCAACGAGCGCAACCCUUGUCAUUAGUUGCUACGAAAGGGCACUCUAAUGAGACUGCCGGUGACAAACCGGAGGAAGGUGGGGAUGACGUCAAGUCCUCAUGGCCCUUAUGGGUAGGGCUUCACACGUCAUACAAUGGUACAUACAGAGCGCCGCCAACCCGCGAGGGGGAGCUAAUCGCAGAAAGUGUAUCGUAGUCCGGAUUGUAGUCUGCAACUCGACUGCAUGAAGUUGGAAUCGCUAGUAAUCGCAGAUCAGCAUGUCGCGGUGAAUACGUUAAAGGGUCU